rnacentral:pre_miRNA from 1 species
UAUAUACUCCCUCCGUCCGGAAAUACUCGUCAUUGAAAUGGAUGUAUCUAGAUGUAUUUUAGUUCAAGAUACAUCCAUUUUCAUCCAUUUUGAUGACAAGUAAUUCUGGACGGAGGGAGUACUUC